rnacentral:rRNA from 1 species
CACCAGAUGAAACUAGAUACAAGCGAGCGGCGGACGGGUGAGUAACACGUGGGUAACCUGCCCAAGAGACUGGGAUAACACCUGGAAACAGAUGCUAAUACCGGAUAACAACACUAGACGCAUGUCUAGAGUUUAAAAGAUGGUUCUGCUAUCACUCUUGGAUGGACCUGCGGUGCAUUAGCUAGUUGGUAAGGUAACGGCUUACCAAGGCAAUGAUGCAUAGCCGAGUUGAGAGACUGAUCGGCCACAUUGGGACUGAGACACGGCCCAAACUCCUACGGGAGGCAGCAGUAGGGAAUCUUCCACAAUGGACGCAAGUCUGAUGGAGCAACGCCGCGUGAGUGAAGAAGGGUUUCGGCUCGUAAAGCUCUGUUGGUAGUGAAGAAAGAUAGAGGUAGUAACUGGCCUUUAUUUGACGGUAAUUACUUAGAAAGUCACGGCUAACUACGUGCCAGCAGCCGCGGUAAUACGUAGGUGGCAAGCGUUGUCCGGAUUUAUUGGGCGUAAAGCGAGUGCAGGCGGUUCAAUAAGUCUGAUGUGAAAGCCUUCGGCUCAACCGGAGAAUUGCAUCAGAAACUGUUGAACUUGAGUGCAGAAGAGGAGAGUGGAACUCCAUGUGUAGCGGUGGAAUGCGUAGAUAUAUGGAAGAACACCAGUGGCGAAGGCGG